rnacentral:rRNA from 1 species
GACGAACGCUGGCGGCGUGCUUAACACAUGCAAGUCGAACGGAAAGGCCCUGCUUUUGUGGGGUGCUCGAGUGGCGAACGGGUGAGUAACACGUGAGUAACCUGCCCUUGACUUUGGGAUAACUUCAGGAAACUGGGGCUAAUACCGGAUCGGAGCUCCUGCUGCAUGGUGGGGGUUGGAAAGUUUCGGCGGUUGGGGAUGGACUCGCGGCUUAUCAGCUUGUUGGUGGGGUAGUGGCUUACCAAGGCUUUGACGGGUAGCCGGCCUGAGAGGGUGACCGGCCACAUUGGGACUGAGAUACGGCCCAGACUCCUACGGGAGGCAGCAGUGGGGAAUAUUGCACAAUGGGCGGAAGCCUGAUGCAGCAACGCCGCGUGCGGGAUGACGGCCUUCGGGUUGUAAACCGCUUUCGCCUGUGACGAAGCGAGAGUGACGGUAAUGGGUAAAGAAGCACCGGCUAACUACGUG